GACGAACGCUGGCGGCGUGCUUAACACAUGCAAGUCGAACGGAAAGGCCCUGCUUUUGUGGGGUGCUCGAGUGGCGAACGGGUGAGUAACACGUGAGUAACCUGCCCUUGACUUUGGGAUAACUUCAGGAAACUGGGGCUAAUACCGGAUAGGAGCUCCUGCUGCAUGGUGGGGGUUGGAAAGUUUCGGCGGUUGGGGAUGGACUCGCGGCUUAUCAGCGUGUUGGUGGGGUAGUGGCUUACCAAGGCUUUGACGGGUAGCCGGCCUGAGAGGGUGAUCGGCCACAGUGGAACUGAGACGGGGUCCAGACUCCUAGGGGAGGCAGCAGUAGGGAAGCUGCCGCAAGGGGCGAAAGCCUGACGGAGCAACGCCGCGUGAGUGAUGAAGGUCUUCGGAUCGUAAAACUCUGUUAUUAGGGAAGAACAAAUGUGUAAGUAACUAUGCACGUCUUGACGGUACCUAAUCAGAAAGCCACGGCUAACUACGUG
rnacentral:rRNA from 1 species